GAAGAAGAAGAAGAAGAAGACGUCGAGAGAGAACUGGCGAGAAUGAAGAAGUCGGUGGAAGGAGGAGUAGGAGUAAAAGAAGAGGGGGCCAGGAGGAAGAAGUAAAGGGGAGGAACGUGAUGGCGAUGGACGAAGAAGAAGAAGUCGAAGAAGAAGGUCAGUUAUUGAUUCGGAUUGCAUGUAAUUUAUAAAUUUAAAAAGAAAAAGAGAAGGAGAGGAGAGCUGGUCAGAAAGGAUUAUUUUCUUCAUGAUUUCUGAUCCAGUGCCAAACGGCGUUAAUGGAACAAGACCGGCAGCCGUCCGGUUUCAGUGCCGCUUUUGUAGACUCGUGCGCGCGCGCACGCUUGGAAUAACCCUUCAAAAUACUUUGGCGUAAAUUUAUCAGUGACGUCCGUCCAGUUGAAAAAUAUAUACCUACCUUCUCGUCUCUGCCAUUUUUCGCUACCGCUUUUGCUUCCAAGAUAACACGUUACGAUGAUAUACCUCAAAUCAUCGAAAUUAAAUGGACAAAAAAAAGUAGAAGAAAAAGGUGGAGGCUAAUUCAUUACGCAACGGUGUUUUACUCGCCAGAUCAAACAGAUUUAUUAAACAUACGAGGGCAUAUUUUCAAAUGCUAAUUCGCAUUCUGAAUUAUUGCUAGCCUAACCAAAUGAUUAAGAUAAUCAAUAACAAAAUAAAAUAUAUUGGAUAUAAAUAUAGGAACAUAAUAAAAAGAAAAAAAAAGGAUUUUUUUUUUAAUAUAACAUAUACCCUUUGAGAUAAAAAAGAAGAUAAUACGUUAUUAUGAAGGUAUAAUUAAGACCAUUUAUUGUUAUAAUCUCGAAUCUUUGCAAUCUUGCACCAGAACACCCAUGCACCCUUAAGAAGGAGAAGAAGAAGAAGAAGAAAAGAAAUAACAAGAAAAAGAGAGAAGAAAGAUAAAAGGGUGAGAGCGAGAAAGAGGGAAGGAAGAUAAUGGCGACGAGGUCGAAGAGGGUGAAUAUUCUUUUGAGGCAGCUUAACAUCCAGCACACCACUUCGCAUAUUUAAAAUGCAAAUCCGUACGCCAAUAAAUCUCUUGUACAUGGUUCGAGCGAAAACGCAUCUCACUAAUGCUCUUGGAAUGUUAGAUAGAACCCAACGUUACGCAACACAGCCGAAUUCUUUUCGAGCAAGGCCACAAAUCUAGAAUGUAAAGGAGGCCUUUGGCUUGUGCUUGAAUAUCUUUCAAACGUAAAACUACCAAGAAUGUGAAUGACAAGAAAAACAACCCAAAAAAAGAAGAAGAAGAAGGGAAUCGACCUAAUUGCGAAUCGAAUGAGUUUUACAUUGAUCUUUAUGUAAAAAAAAAUAAUACCAACUAACGUAGGUGUUCUGUUUACUCGAGAAACGAUGAAUGAGAAAAAAAAGUAGGGAAAGAUGAAUCUUUGAAAAGCAACGUGAUGAGAAUCCUAUAAUAUACAAGGUGUCUAGGAUACAAGAAGAAACGAUGUUGAGAUCUGACUAAAGGUCUUAUGCUGCUGUAUAUCAAGAUACUUUAACCUUUCCGUACGCUUAAUGGGAAAUUAUACACAACUAUUCGUUCGUCGACCAAGGUAAAGAAUUAUAAAAAGUAAGAAAGACGAUGAAGACUCGAUAACAAAUCAUCAUUUCCAUCCGUUGUAACGUAGGUAUAUUCUACGUAGCAAGUCAAGAAAAAGAAGAAGAAGAAAAAGAGAGAGAAAGAAAGUCGAGUUAAUUACAACCUAACAUACACAAGUUUACAUUGUAUCCAUAUAUUCCUUUUUUCUUUUCGUAGAAGAAGUUCUUUUACUGUCAGUGUGAGAGAAGAAGAAGAAGAAGAAGAAAAUAAGAUGUGGGGGAAGGAAAGAAUGAUUUCAGGAUCAGUGGGGGGUUGUUCAGCAAAGAGGAGGGCAUCGCAAGAUUCGACGAUUUUAAUCUCUUCUCUUCUGAUAUCCUCCUCCUUGGUACCUCCUGGAAACUUCUGCAAACCUGUCCUCUUUUAACAGCCAAGCUUGUCCUCUUUCUAUCUCUUUCUUUUUCUUUCUUUCGUAAUAUCUUCUCUUUUCUCCUGUUCCUUCUUCUUCUUCUUCUUCUCCUCCUUCCUCUUGUACUUUUUAUUUCUUCAACGUAACUCAUCCCUUUACCUCCUUCAAACUCCUCCUUCUACUCUUUCUUCUCUUUCUUUUGUUCAUCCUCCUCCCCCUUUCUCACCGUUUCGAACGCUAUUACGUGCAACGGCUACCGGCAGGCACGAAGCCAAGCUACAUCAGCAACAGGACUACCGAUCUCUUCUGCCAAGAGAGGAGACCUCUCCCCGAGAGAAGGGAACUUACAAUUAGGCAAUUUAAAUCAACAGUUCCGAUCUCCGACGUUGACGUCGAUUACCAUUUUUCGUAUUAGCACCGGUCACCCUUUCUCUUUCUUUCUCUCUCUCUUUCUUUUAUUUUAUUGUCCCUCGCUCUACCUUUUACCUCCCCUUGAAGAAAAGAAGAGGAUGAUGUGCUUUAAUAAUACGAGCUCCCUGAAUUUCUUCUUGCCUACCGGAGAUACUCUCAUCAUAUCAAGGUACCAAAAAGACAUUGCUGAAAAAUGACGAAUAUAAUAAAUUGAUUAAUUAAGAUUAAAAUGAAAUAAUCGGAUCUUGAUUAAUGUGAUAAAGUUGAAAAUAAUUCGAAUCGGAUCAGUCAUUUUCAGAGCAAUCAUCUUUAAAAUGAGAUGAAAUUACAAAUCUCUUUUGAUGAUUAACAAUCUCAUUCAAGGGAGGACACUUAAAUUACAUCUAUUUUCUCGAAUAAUAAUAAUAAUAAUAAUAAUAAUAAUAAUAAUAAUAAUAAUAAGGAUAAAUAAUAGUCUCCGAUAUUACCUACAAAUAACAAACAAGACUCACAAUCAGUAAUGUACUUACUUACUUCGUAAAGAAAGCACUUUGAGUAUCUGGUUUCUUGAAAUCGUAGGCUAAAAGAGGUUGCUGCAAGAGUGAAGAAGAAUAAAAAAAAAAAAACAAUAUGGGAAAGAUGUAAUAAAGUUACUGAAUAAAGGAUAUUAUGGCGCAUAUAUAUAUAUAACGAUUGAAAUACAAGGAUAGAAGCUACUAUAUAUUCUUUUUCUUUGAAGUUGGAAAGAAGAAAGAAGCCCGAAGAUACCAAACAUGUCUCUCAUGGAAAUGAAGAUAACAUGAAAUGUUACCGUUUUAACUGUUAAACGUCUAACGUUCGUGAAGAUCCGUUACACUUAGUUCUACUUUUCGUUGGCUUCUCUCUGUUCCUCUCACGUCGAAUGAAUUUAAAUCGAACGACAGGCAGGUGACGAGUCAAAUUACGGAAGUCAUUGAAGCACUGCGGUUAUGAACGUGCAAGUUACACAUCUCUCGAAAGAAAGAAGAAAAGAGGAGAGAGAUAAACAGAGAAGAAAUGGAAGACGUGCCACAACCACAUCCGUCGUUACAGCCGGCUUUACGUUUUCUUUGCUACACGAGAGAUCUCCUCUUUUUAUAUCCCUCUUCUCAUCCCCUUGAAGAAAAUGAAACAUCGAUUUUAUUCUCGUUAUCGAUCAAUCAACCACUUAAAUGUUCUAAGAAAACAAAAUUAAUUGAUGUUAGUUGUCAAACAUUUGUCUAACUAAAUAUUUUCUUUCAGUAUUCUUUGGAAUGAUCGCUUUUAAUCACAUUUUGAUAUCACAUCGAACGUGGGAUAAUUUCUAAUUAAGGAUCUCCAAUAUAAAUUAGUGAAUUUAUUAACGAAAAGAAAAGAAUAAAAAUGAAAUCAAAGGACCCUAAAUCAGUGUACUAUCUUUUUGGGUUGAUAAGAAGAAAAACAAAAUAUAUGGAUAAAUUUUAUCUUUCCAAUUAUUUCAUACCAAUUUAUCUGUUACAAAGCGAUAAGACUAUAACGUAUCUCUCUUUGAUCUUUUAUUUCUGUACUUAACAAAACCGGUAAUUACCGUAAUGCGGCAACUCGCCUUAACCGACCGUAAUUUGCAUGCCGACCUUUGAUCGCGUCAUAUAUUCCCUGGCCAUGCAUUCGAUAGCGCACAGCAACUAUUUUCCCGUUUACGGAUUAACGUAAUUACCUCUAUGAAGAGUAGAAAAAUAUCUUCUGCGAGUGAAAUUGCUUACGUAUGCGUGUACAUGGGAAAA